rnacentral:misc_RNA from 1 species
GGAUCUUAUGACAGGUUCUGCCGCUUGUUUAGCAAUCUGGUCUAAAGAUACCAGGGAAGCGAUGGCAGAGGCAGAAGCUUUGAAGCUGUCUCAGGAUAUAGGGGAAAUGUGGCUGAGGCUUGUACAGGGUCUGAGGAAAGUUUGUCUGGAUCAGAGAGAAGUUAGGAAUCAUGCUCUUUCAUCCCUACAGACGUGCUUGACAGGAGUAGAUGAAAUGUACCUUUCACAUGGUCUCUGGUUGCAGUGCUUUGAUAUUGUCAUUUUCACAAUGCUGGACGACUUGAUUGAGCUCACAUCACAGAAAGAUUAUAGAAACAUGGAAGAGACACUUAUUCUUGCCUUGAAGCUGUUAACCAAGGUGUUUUUACAAUUGCUUCAUGAGCUAUCUCAAUUGACCACCUUCUGUAAACUCUGGCUUGGAGUCCUCAACCGGAUGGAGAAAUACAUGAAGGUGAAGGUCAGAGGUAAG